rnacentral:rRNA from 1 species
AGAGUUUGAUCCUGGCUCAGGAUGAACGCUAGCGACAGGCCUAACACAUGCAAGUCGAGGGGCAGCAUUUCUAGCUUGCUAGAAGAUGGCGACCGGCGCACGGGUGAGUAACGCGUAUGCAACCUACCUUAUACUGGGGGAUAGCCCAAAGAAAUUUGGAUUAAUACCGCAUAACAUAUUUGAAUCGCAUGGUUUAGAUAUUAAAACUCCGGUGGUAUAAGAUGGGCAUGCGUAGCAUUAGUUAGUUGGUGAGGUAACGGCUCACCAAGACAAUGAUGCUUAGGGGGUCUGAGAGGAUAGUCCCCCACACUGGUACUGAGACACGGACCAGACUCCUACGGGAGGCAGCAGUGAGGAAUAUUGGUCAAUGGACGCAAGUCUGAACCAGCCAUGUCGCGUGCAGGAUGACGGCCCUAUGGGUUGUAAACUGCUUUUUUACAGGAAUAAUUGUCGAUACGUGUAUUGAUUUGAAUGUACUGUAUGAAUAAGAUCGCUAACU